GCCGCCGCGCGCGGAACGGCUCCCGGAGCGUUGUGAUUCCCCGGUGAUGGAGGUUCACCUUCGUGGUUCUUCGACCGUGAGGCCGGCAGACUGAUUAAACUGUGUGGAGACGUUUCAAAAAGACUUUGGGCAAAAAAGAAGUUCAGUAAAGCUGUUGUGUGCCCUAUGAACAGAGCUUUGAGAAAUGUCACGCAGAGAUAUAAAACUCCACUGAACACUACAGCUACUCUCUCAAAUCAACAGAUGCUUACUGGCUCUAAAAAUAAUGCCCCAUUGUAAUUCCACUUAAAAAUGUUGUAUAAAUACAUAUUUUAAAGAUACUUUUAAGCCAUUUGGUAGGAGCUUCAAUUUUAUUUUAAUAAACCUGUAUAUGUGACAUGGCUACCUCAGAAACUUUCCACUUUAUUCACAGUGGAUGUGCACUAUAUAAUUAUCUACUGGUUUGUAGCAUCAAUUUUGCUUUCUUUUUAGUGAUAAUUACCCUAGUGUCUGAAUUGAAAACUUAGACAAUAUAACUGCCUUUUCUUUCCUUACUGAGGGCAUAACAAAGAUUUAAAAUAGGAUAUCCAGACAGUGCCAAAAGGCCCUUUUUUUUUUUUUAAUAUCUCCUCCAAAAGAGCAUUCAAAAAGCACUCUAAGAGGAAUAAUGCAAAGAAAAAUAAUAUUAAAAAAAUAGUAUAAGAAAGCGGUAUUCAUGCAAAAUUAUAACUGGAAUUGUAUACCAGAAAAAACAACUGAUCUCUAUUUUCAGUUUCAUUUAUUUACACUCAAGUGUAUCGGAGGUCAUGCUAAGAUAAGGUACAACUAUUGCUGAGUGAAAUGUACACUACUUUGCUUAGUAAAUGUGGUAGAAACAUGAGUUUUAAUUUCUGGAUGUUACAAAGAACAGAUUAUUUUGGUGCAUAGUAUCUGUAAGUUAGUGUCUUCAAUAUGAUUAAGCAUAAGGUUUGGUAUUUUCACACACUUCUAGGCAGUUUGGAUACUUUUUAAAGCUUUAAGGUAGCAUUUUUUCUUACUGAGAGACAAAAGAGUAUAAGUUAUACUUUUAAAAAAUAACAAGUAAUGCAAGAUCCCUUACCAGCAAAUAACAGCUGUUAAAUCUGUAAGGAGUAAAAUAGAAUUUUUCGCUCAAAAGCA